AUACGUAGGGGGCGAGCGUUGUCCGGAAUGACUGGGCGUAAAGGGCGCGUAGACGGCUGUCUAAGUCUGGAGUGAAAGUCCUGCUUUCAAGGUGGGAAUUGCUUUGGAGACUGGAUGGCUUGAGUGCGGAAGAGGUAAGUGGAAUUCCCAGUGUAGCGGUGAAAUGCGUAGAGAUUGGGAGGAACACCAGUGGCGAAGGCGACUUACUGGGCCGUAACUGACGUUGAUGCGCGAAAGCGUGGGGAGCGAACAGGAUUAGAUACCCUGGUAGUCCACGCGGUAAACGAUGAGCGCUAGGUGUAGCGGGUAUCGACCCCUGCUGUGCCGGAGUUAACACAAUAAGCACUCCGCCUGGGGAGUACGGCCGCAAGGUUGAA
rnacentral:rRNA from 1 species